ensembl:snRNA U7 U7 small nuclear RNA
AAGUGUUAUAGCUGUUUUAGAAUUGUCUAGCAGUCUUUCUGGGUUUUGUCAGAAAGGCCCU